rnacentral:rRNA from 1 species
UACAGAGGUCUCAAGCGUUGUUCGGAUUCAUUGGGCGUAAAGGGUGCGUAGGUGGCGGGGUUAGUCAGGUGUGAAAUCUCGGGGCUCAACCCCGAAACUGCACUUGAUACUGCCUUGCUCGAGUACUGGAGAGGAGAUUGGAAUUUACGGUGUAGCAGUGAAAUGCGUAGAUAUCGUAAGGAAGACCAGUGGCGAAGGCGAAUCUCUGGACAGUUUACUGACACUGAGGCACGAAGGCCAGGGG